rnacentral:misc_RNA from 1 species
GUAAUUUGCCAGAAUUUCCUCGUACGAUAUUCUUAACCUUGACUUGGGCAUGAGGCUGGCAUCAUUUGCUGAAGGAAAUGAGCCUGGUGAAGUCAUCUUAUGGUCGAACUCGUGUGGAGCAGAGAGCUCAUGCCAAUGUGUCCUCUGGUCAUGUGGAAAGCGCUAAUUCCCUUUUCUGACACCACCUUACAUAUCCGCCCUCCGGCUACACCAAAGUCCGGUGGCAUCCCAAAGAUUGCAAGAGGUCGUUUUUGACUGAAACCAAAUGUCAAUUAGGAAGUCAGAGCCAACAGACAAUAAAAAUGGGUUCUUUAGCUAUAUCUUAAGAAUCCCCAGGAGAGAUUGAUUUGUUGAUAAAGAAGCUGAAUGUGAGGAUUUGGUCAAUCAACAU